AUUCCACAUUCCAAUGGUGUUUUUUUUUGUGUGUGCCCUGCACACACACAUACUCACACAGAUUCGUGUGGUGUUACAAAGCUUUGAACUAAUGCCGCCACAGCACAGCCUCCAAGUAAAAAUGUUGUUGCUGCUGCUGCUGCAACAGAGCGCUGAAGGUGAGUACAAAACAUUCGUUUAACUGUGUAUUUUAUAUAGAUAGGUAAGUACAUCACAAUGUGACUGGAUCUGCAGUGUCCAAAGCAACGAAGUAAGAGAGAGAGAGAGAGAAGGGAGACGAGCCGUUAUGAGCUUUUGGAACAGUGGGUCAAAGCAGCAAACGGAAAAUGCCGACACCGACACCGACGCAGAGGCCGACGCCAACGCCAAUGUUCGCCCAACAUUCAGCUGAGUAGCCGACUUGUUGUCAGUUAGUUGAGCUCAAGGUGAGUUGGAGUUGGGCGCCAGAUCGCUUUUGGUGAACAGCAUUCCAAGCAUGCCAGCGGCAACGACAGAAUCUAAACAACUUGAUGUGUUGGUAUUUAUGAUUUAUGCUUUGUUUGCGCAUUACAAAAGGCAACUGAUGAUAAGAGAAGCCACAGGCGGGGGCAGCCAGAUAACUAACCCAAUAGGUGCUAAUCAGCAUAAAUAUGGCAUGUGUGGCUGUGAAUUUCCGGGCUACUUUCUAAAUGCCCAAAUGCUGAUCGGAUCGCAUCGGAUCGGAUCGGAUCGGAUCAUCAAGACGUGUCGUUCGAGCUGCCAAACAUUGAUAUGACGAUAACAACAGAACAAUAACGACAACCGAAGGAGUCCAAACUGCUGACAAUUAAAAAAGAAUUAAAUCUGUUUAAAAUUUAAAUAAAUAAUACUUAUUUUGUAUUCAUACUAAGUGCUAAGUAAAUAACUGCAUUUAUAUUAUAAAUUGGUAUAUAUUCGAGAACUAAGACAAAGAUUCAAAAUGUACCAAACCUGUUCAUAUUUUUUAUGAGGCACAUUUAUUUGUUUACUUGUAGAACUGCUACAAAUACGACACAUAAAUUAUUUA
rnacentral:sRNA from 1 species